GACGAACGCUGGCGGCGUGCCUAAUACAUGCAAGUCGAGCGCAGGAAAUCGACGGAGCCCUUCGGGGGGAAGUCGACGGAAUGAGCGGCGGACGGGUGAGUAACACGUAAAGAACCUGCCCUCAGGUCUGGGAUAACCACGAGAAAUCGGGGCUAAUACCGGAUGGGUCAUCGGACCGCAUGGUCCGAGGAUGAAAGGCGCUUCGGCGUCGCCUGGGGAUGGCUUUGCGGUGCAUUAGCUAGUUGGUGGGGUAAUGGCCCACCAAGGCGACGAUGCAUAGCCGACCUGAGAGGGUGAUCGGCCACACUGGGACUGAGACACGGCCCAGACUCCUACGGGAGGCAGCAGUAGGGAAUCUUCCACAAUGGACGAAAGUCUGAUGGAGCAACGCCGCGUGAACGAUGAAGGCCUUCGGGUCGUAAAGUUCUGUUGUAAGGGAAGAACAAGUGCCGCAGGCAAUGGCGACACCUUGACGGUACCUUGCGAGAAAGCCACGGCUAACUACGUGCCAGCCGCCGCCGUAACAC
rnacentral:rRNA from 1 species